rnacentral:rRNA from 1 species
CCUACGGGUGGCUGCAGUGGGGAAUUUUGCGCAAUGCUCGUAAGACUGACGCAGCGACGCCGCGUGAGUGACGAAGGCCUUCGGGUCGUAAAGUUCUUUCGACAGGGAAGAAAAUGCCUAUAAUUAACUGUGUAUGUAUUGCCGGUACCUGUAUAAGCAGCCCCGGCUAACUCCGUGCCAGCAGCCGCGGUAAUAAGGAGGGGGCGAGCGUUGUUCUGAGUGACUGGGAGUAAAGAGCACGUAGGCGGUGUUGUAAGUCAUGAGUCAAAGACUAGAGCUCAACUUUAGUCAGGCUAGUGAUACUAUAAUACGAGAGUAUCAGAGAGGAAUGCAGAAUGCCUGGUGUAGCGGUGAAAUGCGUAGAUAUCAGGAGGAAUACCGUUAGCGAAGGCGGCAAUCUGGCUGGAAACUGACGCUGAGGUGCGAAAGCGUGGGUAGCAAACAGGAUUAGAUACCCCAGUAGUC